rnacentral:rRNA from 1 species
GCUCAGAUUGAACGCUGGCGGCAUGGCUAAAGCAUGCAAGUCGAACGAGAACCCUUCGGGGGGAAAGUGGCGAAAGGGCGAGUAAUGCGAUCGAACGUACCGUGAGGUGGGGGAUAGCGUCGGGAAACCGGCAGUAAUACCCCAUGUGCUCUACGGAGGAAAGCUUUGGCGCCUCAGGAGCGGCGAUCGUCCUAUCAGGUAGUUGGUGAGGUAACGGCUCACCAAGCCGAAGACGGGUAGCGGGUGUGAGAGCAUGACCCGCCGCAUCGGAACUGAGACACUGUCCGGACUCCUACGGGAGGCUGCAGCGACGAAUCUUCUGCAAUGGACGCAAGUCUGACGGAGCAAUGCCGCGUGUGGGAUGAAGCAUCUUCGAUGUGUAAACCACUGUCAGAUCCUAGGACCAACGACCGGGAUCAGAGGAAGGGCCGGCUAACCUCGUGCCAGCAGCCGCGGUAAUACGAGGGGCCCAAGCGUUAAUCGGAAUCACUGGGCUUAAAGCGUGCGCAGGCGGCCCGGCAAGCAUCUUGUGAAAUCCCACGGCUCAACCGUGGAACUGCAGGGUGAACUGCCGGGCUUGAGGCAGGUAGGGGCUGAUGGAACCAUGAGUGGAGCGGUGAAAUGCGUAGAUAUUCAUGGGAACGCCGAUGGGGAAGCCGAUCAGCUGGGCCUGUCCUGACGCUCAGGCACGAAAGCGUGGGGAGCAAACAGGAUUAGAUACCCUGGUAGUCCACGCCGUAAACGAUGCACACUAGAUCGGGGCGGUUCUGGCACCGUCCCGGUCGAAGGAAAACUGUUAAGUGUGCCGCCUGGGGAGUACGGUCGCAAGGCUAAAACUCAAA